UUAAGUCAAAUUUGUAUGGAGUUGGAACUUUUGCCUAUGUUUGCCGCUAGGGGCACUGUUCCAGCUGCAUACAAAUUUCAGGUA
rnacentral:pre_miRNA from 1 species